rnacentral:rRNA from 1 species
UACGGGGGGGGCAAGCGUUGUUCGGAAUUACUGGGCGUAAAGGGCUCGUAGGCGGCCAACUAAGUCGGAUGUGAAAUCCCCAAGCUUAACUUGGGAACUGCAUCCGAUACUGGAUGGCUUGAAUCCGGGAGAGGGAUGCAGAAUUCCAGGUGUAGCGGUGAGAUGCGUAGAUAUCUGGAGGAAUACCGGUGGCGAAGGCGGCAUCCUGGACCGGCAUUGACGCUGAGGAGCGAAAGCUAGGGGAGCAAACGGG